rnacentral:rRNA from 1 species
CUAAGUUUGAUGGCGACCGGCGCACGGGUGAGUAACACGUAUCCAACCUGCCGAUGACUCGGGGAUAGCCUUUCGAAAGAAAGAUUAGUACCCGAUGGCAUAGUUCUUCCGCAUGGUGGAACUAUUAAAGAAUUUCGGUCAUCGAUGGGGAUGCGUUCCAUUAGGUUGUUGGCGGGGUAACGGCCCACCUAGUCUUCGAUGGAUAGGGGUUCUGAGAGGAAGGUCCCCCACAUUGGAACUGAGACACGGUCCAAACUCCUACGGGAGGCAGCAUG